rnacentral:rRNA from 1 species
CCUACGGGAGGCAGCAGUGAGGAAUAUUGGUCAAUGGACGCAAGUCUGAACCAGCCAUGCCGCGUGCAGGAAGACGGCUCUAUGAGUUGUAAACUGCUUUUGUACGAGGGUAAACGCAGAUACGCGUAUCUGUCUGAAAGUAUCGUACGAAUAAGGAUCGGCUAACUCCGUGCCAGCAGCCGCGGUAAUACGGGGGAUUCAAGCGUUAUCCGGAUUUAUUGGGUUUAAAGGGUGCGUAGGCGGUCGGAUAAGUUAGAGGUGAAAUCCCGAGGCUCAACUUCGGAAUUGCCUCUGAUACUGUUCGGCUAGAGAGUAGUUGCGGUAGGCGGAAUGUAUGGUGUAGCGGUGAAAUGCUUAGAGAUCAUACAGAACACCGAUUGCGAAGGCAGCUUACCAAGCUACUUCUGACGUUGAGGCACGAAAGCGUGGGGAGCGAACAGGAUUAGAUACCCUUGUAGUC